UUAGAGUUUGAUCCUGGCUCAGGAUGAACGCUGGCGGCAGGCUUAAUACAUGCAAGUCGAACGGUAACAGAGCUAGCAAUAGCUGCUGACGAGUGGCGGAUGGGUGCGUAACGCGUAUGCAACCUACCUGUAAUUGGAACAUAACGUUGAGAAAUUAGCGCUAAUAUUCCAUGUGGAUAUGAGACGGCAUCGUUUUAUAUUUAAAGAUUAAUUGAUUACAGAUGGGCAUGCGUAUCAUUAGCUAGUUGGUAAGGUAACGGCUCACCAAGGCAACGAUGAUUAGGGGUUCUGAGAGGAUAUCCCCCCACACUGGAACUGAGACACGGUCCAGACUCCUACGGGAGGCAGCAGUAGGGAAUAUUGGGCAAUGGAGGCAACUCUGAUCCAGCCAUGCCGCGUGCAGGAAGACGGCCUUAUGGGUUGUAAACUGCUUUUAUACGGGAGCAAUAAGGGUUACGAGUAAUCCGAUGAGAGUACUGUAUGAAUAAGGAUCGGCUAACUCCGUGCCAGCAGCCGCGGUAAUACGGAGGAUCCGAGCGUUAUCCGGAAUUAUUGGGUUUAAAGGGUGCGUAGGCGGCCAUUUAAGUCAGCGGUGAAAUUUUGCAGCUUAACUGUAACAGUGCCGUUGAUACUGUUUGGCUAGGAUUUGGUUGUAGUGUGCGGAAUGUGUGGUGUAGCGGUGAAAUGCUUAGAUAUCACACAGAACACCGAUUGCGAAGGCAGCACACUAAGUCAUUAUUGACGCUGAGGCACGAAAGUGUGGGGAUCAAACAGGAUUAGAUACCCUGGUAGUCCACACUGUAAACGAUGAUAACUCGCUGUCGGCGAUACACAGUCGGUGGCCAAGCGAAAGCAUUAAGUUAUCCACCUGGGGAGUACGACCGCAAGGUUGAAACUCAAAGGAAUUGACGGGGGCCCGCACAAGCGGAGGAACAUGUGGUUUAAUUCGAUGAUACGCGAGGAACCUUACCCGGGCUCGAACGGUGCAUGAAUAUACGAGAGAUUGUAUAGUCCUUCGGGACAUGUAUCGAGGUGCUGCAUGGUUGUCGUCAGCUCGUGCCGUGAGGUGUCGGCUUAAGUGCCAUAACGAGCGCAACCCUUGUCAUUAGUUGCCAUCAGGUCAAGCUGGGGACUUUAAUGAGACUGCCACCGUAAGGUGUGAGGAAGGGGGGGAGGACGUCAAAUCAGCACGGCCCUUAUGUCCGGGGCGACACACGUGUUACAAUGGGAGGUACAGAGGGCAGCUAUCCGGUGACGGAAUGCUAAUCUCCAAAACCUUUCUCAGUUCGGAUUGGAGUCUGCAACUCGACUCCACGAAGGUGGAUUCGCUAGUAAUCGCGCAUCAGCCAUGGCGCG
rnacentral:rRNA from 1 species